UCCUUCAGCAUCAACCUCUCCCUCAUCCGUGCUAAGAACGUCGCGUAAUGGUGUCAUUUCGCAGUGAGCUUUGUUUAGUACCUCGUUUACACGCAAUACUUGCUUUUUUAUGCCUGAGGAAACCAUAAAUAUGCGUCGUCUACGGAGGUGCGAAACCGCAAUAUCAACUGUCUCAGAAAAGCCCACAGCUUUGCAAACAAUGAGCAUUUAUUUUCGAUGAAGCAGGCAAGUACUUAACCAGGAUGUUGUGUUAGAAAUGGGGUGAAAACAAAUUUACAGUGAAGAGAAUUAAUUGCACGUGAAGAGAAUAUGAUGAAUUUUCUCGGCCGAGAAAAAUCGCACUAGUAGAGCUCGCAAAACGUUUUUGCCCGUGCAGAAUACGAUGGCAAAGCUGCCGCUUUCAUGACGGGAUGGUCCACAGCUUGUUUGUUAAUGUGGUUAUGAGGAGUCGUUAUUGGCUUUCAGGAUCAACAUUACACAUGUAGUGAUAAACGCAUUAUUACUCAUUGAGAUACCUUGCACUGUAAUGUUGUUUGGCAGUGAAGCCUUUUAUUAGCGAACUCGUAUUUAGGGUUUCGUUAGCUGUUGCUAAAUUAUCUUCCUGCAUAAGAAGGAAGAAUAGGAACGACAUGAAUAGGAAGCAGGAAAGACCUAAGCAGGACAAACAUUAAUUGAAACACUAAUUGCUAACAGCAGUGGUAAGAUAUCGAAUGGUUAAGAGGAAUGAAGUGAACCAACAAAGCUUCUGCUGUGAAUCCUCUGUGCCGCAAUUACUUCUUUACAGGAUCGAGGAUAGAAGACAACUGGCAGGAGCACUGUUGGACAGUUGCUUCUGUGACAGACAAGUUGCUUCCCUUACAAAAGCUUUUAUAGAAAUUCUAUAGACAAUCUAUAGACGUCUACAGACUGUCUAUAGACUUUCAAUAAAAGCUUUUGUAAGGGUUGGGACUAGUGUUCUAAAAGACUUUCACUGCCACAUUGCUUUAUAUUUAUUUUACACAGCUCAGCUUGGAUCUUGCUUCAAGGCCAUAUGCAAUCCUCAAGAAUCAAGAAUAUCUUCAGCCGACUGUCAGCUUGUCUAGUAUGCUGUCUGACAAACAUGGACCUCUGCCCACAAGAACAACACCGAAGGUGUUUCUUCUUGAACCUGGUCCUCACCAGCCUGCAGAAUCAUCACUCAGUUGUAGCGUCCUUCCAUCUGGAGACAUUUACGUCAGCCUCUUGCGUGAUGGCAGUGAUCCACUGGCUAAAUUACUGGCUUCUGGCAGAGCCAUCAUAGAGGAGCACGGUGCAGACAGUCUUGCCAUAGUCCCAAGCAUGUCCGCACAGUCUUGCAAGGUAACUUCAGGUUUGCCAGCUGAAGGUCAUCAUGCAGCCACAGGUACAGAAUCAUGCAUUGCUGACAACUUGGAUGUUAAACCAUGCUCUGAGAACAACGGCAAAGACAAAGAACAGUCAUGCAGCGUCGUACCACCUAGAGACAUUUACCUCUACCUCCAAGGCGAUGGCAACAACCCACUGGCUAAAUUACUAGCUUCUGGUGGCGCCAUAACAGAAGACUGCAACAUAGACAGUCUUGCCACGGUGUCUCGUGCAUCUGCACUUUCUUGUGAGGCAACCUCAAUUUUGGCGAUUGGAGGAGUUCACUCUGCAGCUACAGACACAUCAUCACACAUUGCUGACAACUCCAGUGUGGAAUUCUACACUGAUAAGAGUGAGAAAUUCAGUGAGCAUUCGUACAGUGGUUGGCGGGGCACUUUGCUUCAGAGGCAGGAGAAGUACGCUUGCCACCUGUGCCCAUACACAACCAGGUAUCCAAGCAUCAUGGAGCGUCACCGGCUGCUGCACACAGGCGAGAAACCACACAAGUGUCAGGUCUGCAGCCGUGGUUUCCGGCUGCGCACUACAAUGUUGCAGCACCUACGCAUACACACGGACGAGCGCCCGUACCAAUGCAAGACGUGCUUGCGCUCAUUUCGGCAUGGUUCAUCCUUGCAAAAGCACGAACGCGUGCAUACGGGAGAGCGACCCUAUCAGUGUGAAACAUGCGACCAGACGUUCAGCGCCCUCACUGUACUAAAGCGCCACAGACGCACCCAUACAGGCGAGAAGCCCUUUGCGUGCCCAGUCUGUGACACGCCAUUUGGAGAUGCAGGUGCCAAGAAGCGCCACAUGCGUCGCAAGCAUGCGAUUGACAAGUGACCCUUCAACUUGGCAUGCUUGACUACAGUCUCUUAAGGCAAGAGGCAUUGUCUUGCGUUUCUUUUUACUUGGAAAUCCUUUGAUCUUCUUGCGCCUUACGAGGUGUCAUUUUCCAAAGGCCAACUCACCUGACAAGGUGCUAUUGUGCCGGACCACUCAUGGAGAUCAUUUGCUCAAUCGGCACACAAUCCAUGGUUUUGUGGUCUCCACCUAUUGUCUGUGCCUGUGUAGUGAAAGUGUGAUGUGGGUGACGGAGUGCUGCAAGAGGAACUUGUCACUGUCCUGUGUUUUUCCAAUGGAGUUCUGUGCCACUAGACAUAGGAAUGAGCUGCAAUUCCAGCUUUCUAUGCAUUGAUACAAGCUUUGUACCUUGCAUGUGUGUGACAGUGUCGACUAUUUAUUCACAAAAUUUCCCAUUUCAUGUUAAUUCUUGUAUGUUUCCAUGUCCAUCGUGCCUGUAGCACAUUCAUUCGAAGGUCAUUUUGCACUUAUAUCAUUAUGUUAUGUGUUUCAAGUUGGGACAUGAAUGUUGUAGCUUGUGCUGCAUUGCUCACCCUUCACACUAAUGCCGAGUGUAAUUUAAGCAGCAUAUCAUUGUUUCUUUUGCUGCCGUUGUCUUUCUUUAGCAAUAAACAUGUAUUACAGUCAA